UGGGGAAUUUUGGACAAUGGGGGCAACCCUGAUCCAGCAAUGCCGCGUGUGUGAAGAAGGCCUUCGGGUUGUAAAGCACUUUUGUCCGGAAAGAAACGCCGUGGUUAAUACCCGUGGCGGAUGACGGUACCGGAAGAAUAAGCACCGGCUAACUACGUGCCAGCAGCCGCGGUAAUACGUAGGGUGCAAGCGUUAAUCGGAAUUACUGGGCGUAAAGCGUGCGCAGGCGGUCCGCUAAGACAGAUGUGAAAUCCCCGGGCUUAACCUGGGAACUGCAUUUGUGACUGGCGGGCUAGAGUAUGGCAGAGGGGGGUAGAAUUCCACGUGUAGCAGUGAAAUGCGUAGAGAUGUGGAGGAAUACCGAUGGCGAAGGCAGCCCCCUGGGCCAAUACUGACGCGUC
rnacentral:rRNA from 1 species